UACGUAGGGCGCAAGCGUUGUCCGGAAUUAUUGGGCGUAAAGAGCUCGUAGGCGGUUUGUCGCGUCUGCUGUGAAAGCCCGGGGCUCAACCCCGGGUCUGCAGUGGGUACGGGCAGACUAGAGUGCGGUAGGGGAGACUGGAAUUCCUGGUGUAGCGGUGGAAUGCGCAGAUAUCAGGAGGAACACCGAUGGCGAAGGCAGGUCUCUGGGCCGCAACUGACGCUGAGGAGCGAAAGCAUGGGGAGCGAACAGG
rnacentral:rRNA from 1 species